rnacentral:rRNA from 1 species
CCUACGGGCGGCUGCAGUGGGGAAUAUUGGACAAUGGGGGCAACCCUGAUCCAGCCAUGCCGCGUGUGUGAAGAAGGCCUUUUGGUUGUAAAGCACUUUAAGCAGGGAGGAGAGGCUAAUGGUUAAUACCCAUUAGAUUAGACGUUACCUGCAGAAUAAGCACCGGCUAACUCUGUGCCAGCAGCCGCGGUAAUACAGAGGGUGCGAGCGUUAAUCGGAAUUACUGGGCGUAAAGCGAGUGUAGGUGGCUCAUUAAGUCACAUGUGAAAUCCCCGGGCUUAACCUGGGAACUGCAUGUGAUACUGGUGGUGCUAGAAUAUGUGAGAGGGAAGUAGAAUUCCAGGUGUAGCGGUGAAAUGCGUAGAGAUCUGGAGGAAUACCGAUGGCGAAGGCAGCUUCCUGGCAUAAUAUUGACACUGAGAUUCGAAAGCGUGGGUAGCAAACAGGAUUAGAUACCCUGGUAGUC